rnacentral:lncRNA from 1 species
GGCUUGUUAGGAAUACCAAAAAACGCCCCCUUUCACCUAUAUUCCACUUACCGAUUAGGAAAUUGCUGUUUGCAAACUGGCCUGGUACUGGAGGUCCCGGCCGGGGGUAGGGGGUGCAAGGAGAUGCCGAGAAAAAAGGGCCACCGCUCCAGGAAUGUUCUCAUACAAAUGAAAAGAAUGAAAGAAUGUAGAAGGAAGCUGAAUGUUACCUUCUGUUCCGCCUCCUAAUCCCUUGCUGGCAGUUAAAAAAAAAGGACACAACUGACUACAUGCCUCCAGAGAAAACUCCUGAUUCUCCUAAAAGAAAAUAAUUUUUCUAUAGAGGUAAAUGUGGAGAGUAUUCCAUCGCCAUGAUAAAAAGUCCAGAGAGGAAAAAAAUGUCUAGGACACUAGGGUAGUUGAAUCCCAUGGAUGCAAGAGCAGGUGUUGAAGGAGAUUGUUACCAUCACUGGCCACAG